GGGGGUGUAGCUUAGUUAGUAGAGUGAUUGCCUGGUAUCCAUGAGGUCCUGGGUUCAAUUCCCAGCACCACAU
rnacentral:tRNA from 1 species